ensembl:lncRNA
AUUCUGUGAUUGCUUGUCUCCAGGGACUGAGAAAGACACCUGUGGAGGGGCAGCUGGAGACGUGGCAUUCAAUACAGUUAUCUGUGCAGCCUGCUAUAGGGAAAUGGCUGGAGGGUAGAGCUCCCUUCCAGCCCCUGUGACAAGCAGGUGUGUGAAGGGACACAGCGAGCAGGUGGAUGUUUGGUGGCUUUCCAGGGUCAAAGCACCGCAGCCCUGCGAUGCCACCAGGAGGUUGAGUGUCAUCAGCCACGUCCCUCUCUGUCUCCAUUCACUGUAAUGGGAGCAGAGUCUGGCGCACCCACAGGGAUGGGGCAUCCACGGCCUCUGGGCAGCAGUGCAGGGCCUCAGCUCCCUCUGUGAACACCUUCCCCCACAUCUAAUCCAAAUCUCCAUUCCUUUACAUUAAAACCAUUCCCCUUUGUCCCAUCUCCCCACAAGAAAAGUUCAUUUUCCUCCUGUUUAUCAUCUCCCUUGAAACAGUGGGAGGCUAUCACCACGAUGGGGCCCCAUAGAGCCCCAUAGAGCCCCAUAGAGCCCCAUAGAGCCCCGUAGCCGCCGCCAUAGAGCCCCAUAGCCGCCCCAUAGAGCCCCAUAGAGCCCCAUAGAGCCCCAUAGCCCCCCCAUAGAGCCCCAAAGAGCCCCAUAGAGCCCCAUAGCCGCCCCAUAGAGCCCCAUAGAGCCCACAUAGAGAUCCAUAGCCGCCCCAUAGAGCCCCAUAGAGCCCCAUAGAGCCCCAUAGCCACCCCAUAGAGCCCCAUAGAGCCC